AAUUGCUUAUCGUUUUCAUUCUCUCUUCAAAACAUAUUGAACCACUUGUUUUACAUGAAUUCCAAAGGUUGGCACUAGCUUUCACUUCAGGAAAUAAAUGACAUAGGGUAUUAUAUUUUAAGGACCAUUAAAACCUUNNNNNNNNNNNNNNNNNNNNNNNNNNNNNNNNNNNNNNNNNNNNNNNNNNNNNNNNNNNNNNNNNNNNNNNNNNNNNNNNNNNNNNNNNNNNNNNNNNNAGGAAAUAAAUGACAUAGGGUAUUAUAUUUUAAGGACCAUUAAAACCUUGAAAUUGCACAGUGACUUAAAAAACAACAAGUUAUUUAGCCUGGAUAGCUGUAAUGGUUAUACAAUGGGGAAAUUCAUUGUUAAAUGACCCUCCCACUCUUCACAUAUAAUGCUUGGCAGGAAGAGGAAGGAGAAAUGAGACCAGCAUCCGGGCACUCAAGAUAUAAUGUAAAUGACGUAGGAAUAUUAGGGGUCUGUGUGCCAAGCGGACUGCAGAGAAUGCACCAAAUCUUCCCUGAAAUCUUAUGCUAGUUGACUCACAGCUGGUGAUUAGAAAGUAUUUUGCCCAUACUAACGAGAGCCCAAUGAUUCCAAAGGACAUUAAGUUUGAUUUCUCAGAUGAAGCUUUGUGGCUGCCCCUCAUGCUUUGCAAAACAUUACCAAGUCAGAGCCGAAAAGAAAACUGUCCAGCUUCUUUCCCCGGUUUCUGUUAAUGGCAUCAGCAGCUUUCUCCCAGUCACCCAGCCUCGAAACCCUGAAUCAUCAUGUGUUUGCUGCACCUUCCAUCUCAGUGUCUGCAAUAGCUUUAACAUUUCUGUUUCCUCCUUUCCAUCUCCACUGCCAAUGCCUUUCUUUGGGACCAUUUAAUGCCUAUCAAAAUAAAAUUUUAAAAGAGUCUACAAUUCUUGCUUUAUAAGCUGGUAUAUCCUAAAAGCUGAAACUUUCUAAAUCAUAUUUCUGAUAUACCACAAGUCUAUUGCAACCCCACAUGUAAUUAAAAAUUGUCAUCAAACAUCAAACAUGAAACAUCAAAACUACUCUAAAGUAUGGAAUUCAAGAGCAUUCAUAUGGCUUGGCUUCAAACUCUUCCUCUCCUUUUCCAGGCUAAGAUUUAUUCAAUUAUACCCUUACUCCAUUCCUGAUACUUAUUUAACGUAAGUUUUAUAUGACAUAGGAACCUUCAUAAUGAAAUGAAGAUCCAAAGAAAGAAAUCUGAGUAAGUUUUUUCUAAGUUUAAUGAAGAGUGAUCAUCUCAAAUUAUGAGUUGAGGUAAGUAUAGUAACCUAGGGGAAGCCUAGCAAGCCUUAAUGGUAGAGUUCUUGGUAUCCCGUUUUCUUUCUGAGAUAAGGAUGCUCCUUUCCUCUAGGCCCAAGGAGGGCACCUCUCACGUGAAGGUUUUAUGAUCUAUUCAAAAAAACAGGGGGUGAGGGGAUGAUUCUGACCUCUUCGCUUCUGCCAUUUUUUCAAGCUCCUGUGGCUUAAGACAUUCCUACCCCAAGGUGCCACAUUUUGGGGUAGCAUGUCCUAAACUCCAUCACAGACAUAUUGUGAGUGUUAUCUCACUUAAUUCUCAUCAUACUAUAUGAGAUGGAUGGCUACACUCCUAAUAAUGAGAUGAAUUCCAGAACAAGAAUGUCUGGAUUCCAAUCCCCUUCUUAUUAACUGUGUGACAAGUGACUUGCUAGACAGGUUUGCCACCCUGUCUCCUCUCAGUCUCCUCAUCUGCAGAAUUGUGACAGCGACUGUAUCUUUCUCACAGGGUUUCUGUGAAGACUGUGUUCACACCUUUCAAAUGCUUAGGAACAUGCUUGGCACAGAGUAAGUGCUCAGUAAGUGUUAUCAUAUUCCUUUAUUUAGUAGUAAUAGUUUAAUAUACACAGCUCCAUUUUUCAGAAGAGGACGCUAAGGGUGUAGAGGUUAAAUCAGCUCCCCCUGUUCACUCNNNNNNNNNNNNNNNGAACGAGAACUCAAACCCAGAUCUGUCUGGCUUCAAAACCCAUGUCUUCACAUAGUCCUUUAUCUCCUCCAGUUUCUAGUCUCACCUCUCCUACUUCCUAUACGUCUGCGCCUGAAGCUCCGGUUCAGUCAGUUAGUCACACGUCUCAAAGAUGCUCUGUAUUUUCUUUUUCCCUUCUUUUGUCUUAUCUUAUUUUGCCUUUCCUCCUGAUGCAUCCCCAUUGAAAUGCAUUUCAUUCCUCUCCUGCCUCUUCAGUGAUGAUCUCAGCCUCUUAAAAUCUUAUCCAUUCUUGUGAAAGGCCACCUUUCCCUGUGAUACCACGGUUGAAGCAACUGUGAUCUGUCUGAGUUGAAUGGCCAUAUAUGUUUUGAAGGUUAUUAUAGUUAUCCUUUUAGUACAGAUAUUUGUGGACAUACAGUAGAAACUAGGCUUUUAUGUUUGAAACUCCUCCAGAGACCAUCUCGCCUAAUGACUGUUUUCAGAGCCCCAGGGUCAAAGGAAGCAGGAGUCCAGGAGGCCAGGGGCAGCUGGGAAAGGCUGAGUGGGUGGACUGGUUCCCUCUUUACACACACCCACACCUCUUUAAACAGAGUAUCACCUUUUUAUUUGUUUCACAUAUUGGGGUAAAUGUCUAAAAACAUCCUUUAAUAAGUUAUUGUCUUCUGUCUCCCACUGUAUCCCCAACACUGUGGGAGGAGAGAAUCUAAUAGUGUGUCUUCUGCAGCAGCUAGCUUAGGGCCUUAGGAGAGUGCUCAUUCAAGGCAGGUCAUAGAGGGAAGACUUCCUGUGCAGCAUGUUAACAUAUCCUGUCUCAAAUAUUUAACCUUUGGUUGGUAUGGGAGGUAGGCACUCUCUCCAUUUUAAAGAUACUUGAGUGGAGACCUACCUUGCUGAAGUUAAGAAAUCAGCCCGAGUUUCACAGCCAGAGAGUGACAGGAGGAGAGUUCAAACUUAGAUCUCCCUGGCUCUAAUUCUGAAUUUGAUGGACCAAAAUUCAAAUCCCUCUCUCUUGCUAACUAGCUCUGUGAUCUUGAAAAUAUAUUUCAUCUUUCUGAAUCUCAUCUUUAUAAUGGACAUAGCCACAUCUCCAAACAGUGUUCUUAGGAUUCAAUUUUGUAUGCCAGAAUUUGGCAUACAGACAGAAAUUCUGUCUUUCAACCAAAGUGAGCUGAUGUUCUUUUGACUACACUAUCUCUCACAUUUUCUGAGGAAACUCCAGUUGUAUUAACCUGUGAAUCUUCUUUGGCAAUAGAUACUAAAGAGUUGCAUUCUGAGACAUUUUUCCACAUAACCUAUGUGAUUUUAAAAUGUUCACAGAGCUAUGCACUUUUUAUCAGGAAAAAAGACAGAAAUUCAAGGCUCCAACAUAAACCCUAAAGAAGGCUGUGUGCCAAAGAAUUGAUGCUUUUGAACUGUGGUGUUGGAAAAGACUCGAGAGU
ensembl:lncRNA